UUAAAACUAUCCCAAAACCACCAACCCCCCCCCCAUUCCCUCCCAACGGCUGCGACGUUCAAUUGCAAACGAGUUCCCCUCAUUCCCCCCCAACGGCAGUGACGAUUGCACACGGCCGCGGCGAUUCCAACUGCAGCAGCGACCACUGGUGACAGCGUAGCAGCGACAACUGCAGCAGCGAUUCCUCUGUGGUAUCUCGAUUCGUCCUAGGUAUGAUGAAUUCGAUCACCCUAUCUGGUGUUAUAUGGCAUAUGCGGAAUCCAUUUAACCAGAUAAAUGAAUCGGCCAUUAGUGAUAUUUAUUUUAUUAAACAUGAUUAAGUAAUAAUUGUAAAGUAAUGUAAUUUAUUGUGGACUAUUUUUUUGAAAAUGGCAUAUGCGGCAUCCUGAAUUCCUAAUGCCCUGAUUGAAAAUUGAGAUCGAAAUAUGAAAUAUCCCACCCGAAAGCACAUGCAUGCAUGAGGAUUGAGAAAUUGAGGACAGUUGCCACCAACUGUAGUCUGUAGUCUGUAGACUGUAGUCAAAACCCAGAUAUGGUUUGAAAAGCUCUCUCUGUUCAUAUUAAGGGUUCAUACAUAUAUAGCAAGCAAAUCUGCAUAUGCAUGGAAUCAAUCAGCUGAAUUAUUACUUGCUUGCGUUUGUACAAAUAAUGCAGACAGUUCUAAUUUAACGCGUUUGAUUUACGAGUGGUGCUGGUUUCCUUUUCCAGGAUGACAGAUCUGUUCCAGCUGUGUUCACAAUCUUUAAUUCUUUAUUACGAAAUUAUGGAUUUAUGGGUUGGUUAAUUGCAUAAUU
rnacentral:lncRNA from 1 species